rnacentral:rRNA from 1 species
CAGCCGCCGCGGUAAAACGGAGGGUGCAAGCGUUAAUCGGAAUUACUGGGCGUAAAGCGCACGCAGGCGGUCUGACAAGUCAGAUGUGAAAUCCCCGGGCUUAACCUGGGAACUGCAUUUGAAACUGUCAGGCUGGAGUCUUGUAGAGGGGGGUGGAAUUCCAGGUGUAGCGGUGAAAUGCGUAGAGAUCUGGAGGAAUACCGGUGGCGAAGGCGGCCCCCUGGACAAAGACUGACGCUCAGGUGCGAAAGCGUGGGGAGCAAACAGGAUUAGAUACCCGUGUAGUCCCUGUCUCUUAUAU